UUUAUGAGAGUUUGAUCCUGGCUCAGGACGAACGCUGGCGGCGUGCCUAAUACAUGCAAGUAGAACGCUGAAGUCUGGUGCUUGCACUAGACGGAUGAGUUGCGAACGGGUGAGUAACGCGUAGGUAACCUGCCUCAUAGCGGGGGAUAACUAUUGGAAACGAUAGCUAAUACCGCAUAACAGUAUUUACCGCAUGGUAGAUGCUUGAAAGGAGCAAUUGCUUCACUAUGAGAUGGACCUGCGUUGUAUUAGCUAGUUGGUGAGGUAACGGCUCACCAAGGCAUCGAUACAUAGCCGACCUGAGAGGGUGAUCGGCCACACUGGGACUGAGACACGGCCCAGACUCCUACGGGAGGCAGCAGUAGGGAAUCUUCGGCAAUGGGGGCAACCCUGACCGAGCAACGCCGCGUGAGUGAAGAAGGUUUUCGGAUCGUAAAGCUCUGUUGUAAGAGAAGAACGUGUGUGAGAGUGGAAAGUUCACACAGUGACGGUAUCUUACCAGAAAGGGACGGCUAACUACGUGCCAGCAGCCGCGGUAAUACGUAGGUCCCGAGCGUUGUCCGGAUUUAUUGGGCGUAAAGCGAGCGCAGGCGGUUUGAUAAGUCUGAAGUAAAAG
rnacentral:rRNA from 1 species